rnacentral:rRNA from 1 species
CGGCGGCGCACGGGUGAGUAACGCGUAUGCAAUACCUACUCGAGAGGGGGAUAACCCGGCGAAAGUCGGACUAAUACCGCAUGAAGCAGGGGCCCCGCAUGGGGAUAUUUGCUAAAGAUUCAUCGCUGAUAGAUAGGCAUGCGUUCCAUUAGGCAGUUGGCGGGGUAACGGCCCACCAAACCGACGAUGGAUAGGGGUUCUGAGAGGAAGGUCCCCCACAUUGGUACUGAGACACGGACCAA